rnacentral:lncRNA from 1 species
AUAUAUAUAUAUAUAUAUAGUAUAUUGGCCUAGUUCGAUAAUGCACUUUUGCAGGAUUGAGACUCUAACUUGAAAUUGAUCGCCUACAAACCUAAUUGAGGGUAAAGCGAACACGUUCGCGAAGUCGGUUCGGCAAUCCGUCGAGCCUACGCGAAGAUAUCGCCAAAAUGACGUUUUCAGCUUCAAAAUGGAAUGAUAAUCGAAAUCCGUCGAGCCUAGCUCUAUAUAUAGUAUAGAUAUUAUAUUGUAGAUAGUAUAGUAGCCUAACUCUAUAUAUAGUAUAGAUAGUAUAGUAGCCUNUAUAUAUAUAUAUAUAUAUAUAUAUAGAAUUGUGCUCCUAUACUUUUAAAAGUACCAAGUUAUUGGUGCUUAUAGAUUUUUAGCUAUUGGAUUAAGAGACAUACGGUUAGGAUGAUGUGGGCCCCCUAGGGUUGAGUGGGUGGUUGGUUGAAUAGUAUAAUCUAAUGGUUAAAAAUAAUUCGAGGAGUAGAUCUAACGAUAAAAAACUUACAAGCACCAAGUGCAUGGUGCUUUUACAAGCACCAUAGCUGCACUCUAUAUAUAUAUAUAUCAUAAUACGAC